rnacentral:rRNA from 1 species
GUCUCAGGCCGUAUCAGCCUGAAGGCGCCCGAUCUCGUCUGAUCUCGGAAGCUAGGCAGGGUCGGGCCUGGUUAGUAUCUUGGAUGGGAGACCACCUGGGAAUCCCGGGUGGUCUCCCAUC